GCAAUAGUCCAGGCCGGCAGAGCGUCUGGAAGCAGCGGCAGACGAACUGGCCAUCGGCCCACUGCACCGGGCUGGCUUUGCCACACCCGCAUCUCCUCCACACUGCACCCAGGGAUCAGAUUCCCCUAGAACUGGAGUUACAGACAGCUGUGAGCUGCCACGUGGGUGCUGGGAACUACACCGGGUCCUCUGGAAGAGCAGUCAGUGUUCCUAACCACUGAGCCAUCCCUCCAGCCCCUCUAUGAGUGUGUCCAGGGAGAGACCAGCCUGAAUGUGGGCAACAGUAUUCCCUAGGCUGGGGUCCCGGACUGAAGAAAAAAUGAGAAAGCGAGCUGAGCACCAACAUCCAUCUCUCUCUGCUUCUUGAUGGUGGGUGCCGUGUGACCGGUCGCCUCAUGCCCCUGCUGCCGUGACUUCCCACCAUGAUGAACUCUACCUCUGAACUGUAAGGUCUCAGAAUGUUGCCCAUGUUGGCCCUCAACUCCUCGCUUCAUUCAAUCCUCCUGCUUCAACUUCCUAAGUACCUGGGAAUACAAAUAUAGCCCACCACCUCUCGCUUCUCCGGCUCUUUGUUUACGUCUGGCCAACAGGCACCCAGCACCAAGGGUCACCCAAUGGACAAUGAGACUCACAACCACGUCCAAGAGGGAACUAUGGACACAGGAAGCCAAGAUGUGUACUUGUAUAAAUGUGCUAACACACUACAGCAUCCCAGAUUCCCCGGAAUAUAUGACCCGUGUACAACCAGACCACAAGGGAAGCCCGAUAUAUGUUUGAGUUAUGCAAGGCCAAAUACCCUGGUGCUAUCAGACCACACAGAAUCUGGGGAUGACCUUGAAACUUUCAGUUUAAUUUUUGAGACAGAGUCUCACUAUGUAGCCUCGGCUGGCC